CUGGGUUCCCUCCCUGUUGGUUGUUUGGCCUGAGGCAACCCAGCACUGGAGCCUACCCGGCUCUUUGGUUGGGCUAAUGACAGACUCUGGGAGGGCUCAAGCCAAGGAGUACUUCCCAGAACUUCUGUUGCCAGUGUUCUUGUCCCCAUGGUGAGCCACAGCCACCCCCCGCCCCUGCAGGAGACCCUCCAACACUAGCAGAUGUGGGGUAUCUUUUUUGGUGAGUUCCAGUGUCUUCCUGUCAAUGAUUGUUCAGCAGUUAGUUGUGAUUCCGGUGCUCUCGCAAGAGGGAGUGAGCGCACGUCCUUCUACUCCGCCAUCUUGAACCAAUCUCCGAAAGAGAGAGUUUUCUCCUGUCUGGCUUUGAAUCUUCCAGAGAGAGGCAGCCCCACCUGUGUGUGCUGCUCAGGCCCGGCUCACAGCGUUCCAGCCAAUUCUCUGCCCUGGGCAGGGUGAGAUGCCUCUUUCUUGUUCUGGAGAGAAGCGUAAAGGCAGCAGCUCUGCCCUCUUCAGUGCGUCAGCCCUGAGGGACACCGAAAUGCCUGAGACCAGGACAACCUGUGAGAGGUGUGAGCAGGUGGGGGAGCCAAUUACCAGAACGAGCUAGGGCAGCCUGGCUGACCUCGGCAGGAGCAGAGACGGCUUUCCUUGCAUCUUCCUUUUCUUUCCAGCAGCAGGGGGAGGAGGAGACGAAGGCCUAAUUGCUUUCACCUUGAGAAAAAUCUGCUGCUGACCAUGUGCAGAGAGAGAAUCGCUCAAGUUAUACAGCAGGGGCUAGAGAUGAUAUCAGAUCAGGAAGGCUGACAUUUUCCCUGAGGCCCUCACUAACGACUAAGGGGAAGAGAUGUACCGGGCCUACUGCUUCCUCCUUGCUCGGGCCCACCAAUCACACGUCAGCCCAUCUCCAGCUUUCUUUCUGCCCAGAACCCCACAGGGAAAUCUCCGUGUCUGCCUCCUCGCCCCGCAGGCUGCUGUCACUAAGAUGGUGCCUUCACUAGGUUUUGCCCAGGCCAGAGCGAAGGUCCUGGGAGAGAAUUAGCUGUCUCACAGGCCCUGACUGCCGAGUGGACGCCUCUAUCGACCCAGCCAGCCUCUUUCCACCAAGUUCAGACAGGAAAAGUGAUGCCGGCUGCUGCAACAGCCAGGGAGUGGCACUGACCAGCCGCAAAUGCCUGAUUCUGCUGGAACACUUCUAACAAAGCAAAGGAUGAACUCUCAAGGCUUUCUCCAUCCCUGAUGAAAAGCAACUUCAAAAGCCACACACUGUCCUCAACCCCUGGGGUGAAGCAAGGAAUGUGAUAAAGAGAAAGCACUGCAACUCAGUAGAGCAGUCUUGAAGUUAUACUGAUGCUAUACAGGGAAACUGUCUCCAGAAGUUCAGCAUUCGAGACACUGAAAAUCACCCAGGAAGCUCUUCAACCUCCUUGGCUUACUCCUUAUUCUUCUGACCUUUCGUCUCCACAUUAUCCGCAGUUAUCAUUUUCUCAGUUUCCUCUGAUGUUGGUGUGGUGGUGGUGAUGGAGAGCUACCUGUCUGAGGAGUUGGUCGAUGCCUACUGAGACACCUGUCUAUGCCUUCAACUUACACUGGAGGGCAGAGCAAGGAAAACAACAGCAAAAAUAAACAAAUGGGACUACAUCAAGCUGAAAGGCUUUUGCACAGCAAAGGAAACUAUCAACAAAAUGAAAAGUCCACCUACUGAAUGAAAGCGGCACAAAAGUGGGGACCCUGUCUAUCUUGCUCGCCACUUACCUCGACACUCAGAACAACACUUGGCAUCUGUUAGGGGACGCGGGUUUGAUCCCUGGCUGAGGAACUAAGAUCCCGCAUGCUGCGGGGCAACUAAGCCUGUGCGCCGCAACUACUGAGCUCGCGCACUCUGGAGCCUGCGCACCACAACUAGAGAGAAGCCCGCGUGCCGCAACGAAGAGCCCACACACCGCAAUGAAAGAUCCCACAUGCUGCAGUGAAGAUCCCUCAUGCUGCAGCUAAGACCCGACA